rnacentral:rRNA from 1 species
UACGUAGGGUGCAAGCGUUGUCCGGAAUUAUUGGGCGUAAAGAGCUCGUAGGCGGUUUGUCACGUCGGCUGUGAAAACCUGGGGCUCAACCCCGGGCCUGCAGCCGAUACGGGCAGACUAGAGUUCGGCAGGGGAGACUGGAAUUCCUGGUGUAGCGGUGAAAUGCGCAGAUAUCAGGAGGAACACCGGUGGCGAAGGCGGGUCUCUGGGCCGAUACUGACGCUGAGGAGCGAAAGCGUGGGGAGCGAACAGG